rnacentral:piRNA from 1 species
ACCCUCAUGGACCCUUAGGAAGAUCAUU